rnacentral:tRNA from 1 species
AAAGCUUUAAGUUAAAUUAAAACUAAUAACCUUCAAAGUUAUAAAUAUAACAAUUUUAUAAGCUUUA